CCUACGGGAGGCAGCAGUGAGGAAUAUUGGUCAAUGGACGAGAGUCUGAACCAGCCAAGUAGCGUGAAGGAUGACUGCCCUAUGGGUUGUAAACUUCUUUUAUACAGGAAUAAAAUGAGGCACGUGUGCUUUUUUGCAUGUACCUUAUGAAUAAGGAUCGGCUAACUCCGUGCCAGCAGCCGCGGUAAUACGGAGGAUCCGAGCGUUAUCCGGAUUUAUUGGGUUUAAAGGGAGCGUAGACGGGUUGUUAAGUAAGUUGUGAAAGUUUGUGGCUCAACCGUAAAAUUGCAGUUGAUACUGGCAGGCUUGAGUGCAGUUGAGGUAGGCGGAAUUCGUGGUGUAGCGGUGAAAUGCUUAGAUAUCACGAAGAACCCCGAUUGCGAAGGCAGCUUACGAAACUGUGACUGACAUUGAUGCUCGAAAGUGUGGGUAUCAAACAGGAUUAGAUACCCUAGUAGUC
rnacentral:rRNA from 1 species